UUGAACGCUGGCGGCAGGCCUAACCCCUGCAAGUCGCACGGUAACAGGAAGCAGCUUGCUGCUUUGCUGACGAGUGGCGGACGGGUGAGUAAUGUCUGGGAAACUGCCUGAUGGAGGGGGAUAACUACUGGAAACGGUAGCUAAUACCGCAUAACGUCGCAAGACCAAAGAGGGGGACCUUCGGGCCUCUUGCCAUCGGAUGUGCCCAGAUGGGAUUAGCUAGUAGGUGGGGUAACGGCUCACCUAGGCGACGAUCCCUAGCUGGUCUGAGAGGAUGACCAGCCACACUGGAACUGAGACACGGUCCAGACUCCUACGGGAGGCAGCAGUGGGGAAUAUUGCACAAUGGGCGCAAGCCUGAUGCAGCCAUGCCGCGUGUAUGAAGAAGGCCUUCGGGUUGUAAAGUACUUUCAGCGGGGAGGAAGGGAGUAAAGUUAAUACCUUUGCUCAUUGACGUUACCCGCAGAAGAAGCACCGGCUAACUCCGUG
rnacentral:rRNA from 1 species